GCGACAAGUAUUUCAAGCUGUUUUUCAGGCGGCGUGCCUCCAGAAAGGGAGACGUCUCUCCGGGCCUUAGGAGAGUCCAACAGCAUUCUGUCUAUCCGUAGCGACUCCACUUUUUCCCUUGGCUUCCUUGGAGAGUUCUCCUGUUUGUUUAGCUUUCUCGGCAAAAUACGGGCCUGCCUUUCCAUCUGUGCCCAGUCUGAGUGAGCUGAACUACAGUCGGUGUCACACACAAGAAGUUGCUGAAUUAUUAAGAGCUCCAGAUUUCUGAGAGACGCAUCCGUUGUCGGCCCAUCUGUCGGGAUAGUGCACGCGCGUACGGCGGAGUGUACCUCACGCGCUCGCUGACAAUCUGUCGCAGAUCAAGUUCGUCGAACAAGACGCUUCUGGUCGCCAUCGCGGAGUCUGAUUCUACCGCCAGAGCGAGCGAGUGCACGCGUUGCUCCAAUCUGGGACCUAAAAUGAGACAAAUGGUCCGGAGUGACGGGGAACAUCAAGGAAUCAAUUCCAGAUCAAGUAUCUGAAAAGUGAGCGAUUGUCACGUACGGCAUAUAAAGCCCUUCCGUGGUUCAGACGCAGCUUUCGGCGAAACCAAAGUAAGAGGAAUCUUCCAAGAACCCCACGUUUCUGUUUUCCCAGCAAACUCUACUCCGUGCUUUUGCUGUGUGAGCGCAGAGCUUGAAACAAUGAGCCGCAAUGUCCCUCAGCCCAAAAACUCGCCACGCCGAUAUAUUUC
rnacentral:lncRNA from 1 species